rnacentral:snRNA from 1 species
GGAUGUGAGGGUGAUCUGACUGUGACAUCUGUCACCCCUUUGAUUGCCAGGGUUGAUUCAGCCGAUCUGGUUGGCUAGGCAGUUGUCCCCUUCUUUCCUCACCACUACAUGUGUGUCCCUCCUGAAGCUGAACUCUCGGUGGAAGAGGACAAACUUUCCCAAAUAGAGUAAGAGGACCAGGCUACAGUCACGGGUAUGCAAGUAGCUGUGCUUCCCUGUUAGAACCGCCAAACAAACUCUCAAAAGCAGGGAAUCUGUAUUAAUAAUUCUUAUUUAUUUAUCUAUUUUGUUUUUCGAGGUAGGAU